UACGGAGGGUCCAAGCGUUAUCCGGAAUCAUUGGGUUUAAAGGGUCCGUAGGCGGUUUUGUAAGUCAGUGGUGAAAGCCCAUCGCUCAACGGUGGAACGGCCAUUGAUACUGCAAGACUUGAAUUAUUAGGAAGUAACUAGAAUAUGUAGUGUAGCGGUGAAAUGCGUAGAGAUUACAUGGAAUACCAAUUGCGAAGGCAGGUUACUACUAGUGGAUUGACGCUGAUGGACGAAAGCGUGGGGAGCGAACAGG
rnacentral:rRNA from 1 species